rnacentral:rRNA from 1 species
GACGAACCACACAAACGUUAUUCGGAAUUACUGGGCUUAAAGGGUGCGCAGGCGGCCUGACAAGUUGGGUGUGAAAUACCUCGGCUCAACCGAGGAAUGGCGCCCAAUACUGCCAGGCUAGAGGGAGAUAGAGGUGAGCGGAACUUAAGGUGGAGCGGUGAAAUGCGUUGAUAUCUUAAGGAACACCCGUGGCGAAAGCGGCUCACUGGAUCUCUUCUGACGCUCAGGCACGAAAGCUAGGGGAGCGAACGGG